GAUGAACGCUGGCGGCGUGCCUAAUACAUGCAAGUCGAGCGAACAGACGAGGAGCUUGCUCCUCUGACGUUAGCGGCGGACGGGUGAGUAACACGUGGAUAACCUACCUAUAAGACUGGGAUAACUUCGGGAAACCGGAGCUAAUACCGGAUAAUAUAUUGAACCGCAUGGUUCAAUAGUGAAAGACGGUUUUGCUGUCACUUAUAGAUGGAUCCGCGCCGCAUUAGCUAGUUGGUAAGGUAACGGCUUACCAAGGCAACGAUGCGUAGCCGACCUGAGAGGGUGAUCAGCCACACUGGAACUGAGACCCGGUCCAGACUCCUACGGGAGGCAGCAGUAGGGAAUCUUCCGCAAUGGGCGAAAGCUUGACGGAGCAACGCCGCGUGAGUGACGAAGGUCUUCGGAUCGUAAAACUCUGUUAUUAGGGAAGAACAAAUGUGUAAGUAACUAUGCACGUCUUGACGGUACCUAAUCAGAAAGCCACGGCUAACUACGUG
rnacentral:rRNA from 1 species